UGUGCCUACGGGGGGCAGCAGUGGGGGAUAUUGCACAAUGGGGGGAACCCUGAUGCAGCGACGCCGCGUGGGUGCCGCCGCGCCUCGGCGCGUCCCGCCCUGUCCGCAGGGCGGCAAAUGACGGUACCUGAAGAAGAAGCCCCGGCUAACUACGUGCCAGCAGCCGCGGUAAUACGUAGGGGGCUAGCGUUAUCCGGAUUUACUGGGGGUAAAGGGGGCGCAGACGGCGAUGCAAGCCAGGAGUGAAAGCCCGGGGCCCAACACCGG
rnacentral:rRNA from 1 species